GACGAACGCUGGCGGCGUGCUUAACACAUGCAAGUCGCACGGAAAGGUCCUGCUUUCGUGCGGUGCUCGAGUGGCGAACGGGCGCGUAACACGUACGUAAACUGACCCUGACUUUCGCAUCACUUUAGCACACCGGAGCUAAUACCGGAUAGGUGCUCCUGCCGCUUGGGGGGGGCUGGUAAGUUUCGGCGGUUGGGGAUGGACGCGGGGCUUAUCAGCUUGUUGGUGGGGUAGUGGCUUACCAAGGGUUUGACGGGUAGCCGGCCUGAGAGGGUGACUGGCCACAGUGGGAGAGUGAUACGGGCGGGAGUCGUGCGGGAGACAGCAGUGGGGAAUAAUGCACGAUGGGGGGAAGCCGGAUGCAGCAAGGCCGCGUUCGGGGUGAUGACCUUCGGGUAGUAGGCCACAUACGCCUGUGACGGAGCGUGAUUGAAGGUAAUGGGUAAAGAAGCACCGGCUAACUACGUG
rnacentral:rRNA from 1 species